UGUAAGAUCUAUAAAGAGAGAGGGAGUGGGAGAGAGAACAGGCAGAACCUGAUAUGUAAAUGAGCAGAGCAAACAAAAGCAACUUUCGACGACCGAAUGAUCAUUCCAGACUGUUUCUAUUGAGAGAGAGAUAAAAGGCUGGUUGAAUGAGUUGCCUGUGCAAGUUACUUCAUCUGCAAGAAAACAGGCGGCUGCACCAGUGACUGUGUCAGUAAUCUAAAAUGAGUCUCUCUGGGGAGAGAGAGGAGGGAGGCCCUGUCUCUAAAAUGAGUCUCUCUGGGGAACAUGACACCAAAGCUAAGAGCCCAAUCAAGCAGGAGAGACCAGCCUCCCCUGUACCCAGCUGUGUGUCCAUGAAGAGUGACACGUCUAUGGAACCUCCUUUACUGUUUAAAGAGGGAGACGUUUC